rnacentral:lncRNA from 1 species
CUCUUUUUUUUUGUCGUGCAAGUGAUGGGGACUCAAUUGCUCUGAAGAAAAUUCUUGAUCAAUAUGCCCGUAUAUCUGGCCAAGAGAUUAAUUACGAGAAGACUACCAUGUGCUUUAGUCCAGCUACACCACUUUCAGUGAAAAACUCUAUUUACAAUUUACUAGGAUUUCAAGUGGUAGAUCGCCAUGACAAAUAUUUGGGUAUGCCGGCAUCCUUAGGUAAAUCUCGAAAGGACAUCUUUCACUUCUUGAGGGAUCGUCUAUGGUC